GACAGAGGGUGCAAACGUUGCUCGGAAUUACUGGGCGUAAAGCGCGUGUAGGCUGACCGGAAAGUCGGGCGUGAAAUCCCUGGGCUCAACCCAGGAACUGCACUCGAAACUCCCGGUCUUGAGUGGUGGAGAGGGAAGUGGAAUUCCUGGUGUAGAGGUGAAAUUCGUAGAUAUCAGGAGGAACACCAGUGGCGAAGGCGGCUUCCUGGACACCAACUGACGCUGAGACGCGAAAAGCGUGGGGGAGCAAACAGG
rnacentral:rRNA from 1 species